CGAUACAAUACCAGAUUUCAAUCAUCUGGCAAGAUAAAACAACAACUUUGCAGAACAAGCACAGGACAGCGAUCCUUUUUAGUCAGAGCUAUUAAUCUGUGGAACUAUAGUAUUGAAAAUAACAUCCAAAAGGAAAACCUGUCAAUUUUUAAAAAACAGUUUAAGACAAUUUUAUUGAACAAAUUUCUAGAUUCCUGAUUUUAAAUAUAG